GUGCUCACCUUGACAGCACAAACACUAAAACUGGAAGACCUAUAGAUAAGGUUAGCAUGGCCCCUGCCCAAGGAAGACAGGCUCAUGAACCAUUUGCUGUUUUGUUUU
ensembl:snRNA U6 U6 spliceosomal RNA